GUACAAAUCACCUGGAAUCUUUGUGAAAAGGUGGAUUCUGAUUCAAUAGGUCUGCAGUAAGGUCCACGAUUCUAUAUUUCUUUCCAGCUCCCAGGUAAUUCCUAU
rnacentral:pre_miRNA from 1 species